rnacentral:rRNA from 2 species
AUUCGCCCUUUUCCGGUUGAUCCUGCCGGACCCGACUGCUAUCGGAUUGAGAUUUAGCCAUGCGAGUUGAACGUCCCUUGAUUGCAGGGGGCGUAGCAUACGGCUCAGUAACACGUAGUCAACCUGCCCUGGAGACGCGGAUAACCCCGGGAAACUGGGACCAAUCCGUGAUAGGUCGCCCCAUCUGGAAGGAGGGGCGGCCCAAAGGGGAAUUGUGGGCUUCCACUUUUCUCGCUCUAGGAUGGGACUGCGGCCGAUCAGGCUGUUGGCGGGGUAAUGGCCCACCAAACCUGUAACCGGUACGGGCCUUGAGAGAGGUGGCCCGGAGAUGGACACUGAGACAAGGGUCCAGGUCCUACGGGGCGCAGCAGGCGCGAAACCUUCGCAAUGUGCGAAAGCAUGACGAGGUUAAUCCGAGUGGCUUCCGCUGAGGAAGUCUUUUGCCGACUGUAAAAAGGUCGGAGAAUAAGGGGAGGGCAAGUCUGGUGUCAGCCGCCGCGGUAAUACCAGCUCCUCGAGUGGUCGGGGCGAUUAUUGGGCCUAAAGCAUCCGUAGCCGGUUCCGUAGGUCUCCUGCAAAAUCCAGUCGCUCAACGAUUGGCCCGCAGGAGAUACCGCGGGACUAGGAGGCGGGAGAGGUGGACGGUACUCCACGUGUAGGGGUAAAAUCCUUUGAUCCGUGGAAGACCACCAGUGGCGAAGGCGGUCCACCAGAACGCGCUCGACGGUGAGGGAUGAAAGCUGGGGGAGCGAACCGGAUUAGAUACCCGGGUAGUCCCAGCCGUAAACGAUGCUAGCUAGAUGAUCCGAUCGUAAAUCAUGAUCGGAGUGUCGCAGGGAAGCCGUUAAGCUAGCCGCCUGGGGAGUACGGUCGCAAGACUGAAACUUAAAGGAAUUGGCGGGGGAGCACCACAAGGGGUGAAGCCUGCGGUUCAAUUGGAGUCAACGCCAGGAAACUUACCAGGAGAGACAGCAGAUUGAGGGUCAGACUGAAGAUCUUACCUGACGAGCUGAGAGGAGGUGCAUGGCCGUCGCCAGCUCGUGCCGUGAGGCGUCCUGUUAAGUCAGGCAACGAGCGAGACCCAAAGGGCGA